rnacentral:rRNA from 1 species
CCUACGGGGGGCAGCAGUGGGGAAUAUUGCGCAAUGGGCGAAAGCCUGACGCAGCGACGCCGCGUGAGGGAUGAAGGUCUUCGGAUCGUAAACCUCUGUCAGCAGGGAAGAACGGUCACUGUGCUAAUCAGCAGUGAAUUGACGGUACCUGCAAAGGAAGCACCGGCUAACUCCGUGCCAGCAGCCGCGGUAAUACGGAGGGUGCGAGCGUUAAUCGGAAUUACUGGGCGUAAAGCGCUCGUAGGCGGUAUGUCAAGUCAAGGGUGAAAGCCCCGGGCUCAACGUGGGAACUGCCUUGGAAACUGGCAAACUGGAGUGUGUGAGAGGAUAGUGGAAUUCCAGGUGUAGGAGUGAAAUCCGUAGAUAUAUGGAGGAACAUCAGUGGCGAAGGCGACUAUCUGGCACAUAACUGACGCUGAGGAGCGAAAGCGUGGGUAGCAAACAGGAUUAGAUACCCCAGUAGUC